ACUGCUCAGUAACACGUGAUCAACUUACCCUUCAGCGGGGCAUAACCUCGGGAAACUGAGGCUAAUUCCCCAUAGUUGGAGCUGCCUGGAACGGUACUCCAUCGAAAGAUACUCCGGAAUGUAGGAGAUUCACUGAAGGAUAGGAUCGCUUUCGAUUAUGGUUGUUGGCGAGGUAAUGGCUCACCAAGCCUAUGAUCGAUAGGGGCCGUGAGAGCGGUAGCCCCGAGAUGGGAACUGAGACAAUGUCCCAGGCCUUACGAGGCGCAGCAGGCGCGAAACCUUUACAAUGCACGCAAGUGUGAUAAGGUUACCCGGAGUGCCGAGAGAAAAUCUUUCGGCUGUUGUGGGUGUGUAAAUAACCCCACCAGAAAGGAGAGGGCAAGGCUGGUGCCAGCCGCCGCGGUAAAACCAGCUCUUCAAGUGGUCGGGAAUAUUAUUGGGCUUAAAGUGUCCGUAGCCGGUUUGAUAAGUUCCUGGUUAAAUCUGGCAGCUUAACUGUCAGUUGGCUGGGAAUACUAUCUUACUAGAGGGUGGGAAAGGUCUGGGGUACUCCAGGGGUAGCGGUGAAAUGCUAUAAUCCUUGGGGGACCACCAGUGGCGAAGGCGCCAGACUGGAACACGCCUGACGGUGAGGGACGAAAGCCAGGGGAGCGAACGGGAUUAGAUACCCCGGUAGUCCUGGCUGUAAACGAUGCGUGCUAGGUGUUGGUAGGGCUAGGAGCCGUAUCAGUGCCGUAGGGAAACUGUUAAGCGCGCCGCCUGGGAAGUACGCUCGCAAGGGUGAAACUUAAAGGAAUUGGCGGGGGAGCACCACAAGGGGUGAAGCCUGCGGUUCAAUUGGAGUCAACGCCGGA
rnacentral:rRNA from 1 species